rnacentral:lncRNA from 1 species
AGACUUUUAAAUAAUGUUUAGAGUUUUUAGGUAGGUCAUUAACUAUGAUUUUAUUAGUUUAGGAUUUAGUUAAUUGUUCUUUUAAUAUUCCUAACCUCUAAAAUCCAACAGCCAGGCGGCUGGAUUUUUUUGGGUAACCCAACAGCCCUUUUUUUUAUUAUUAUUAUCAUUUUGGUUUUAUUUUCUUUAAUUUUCUUUGUUCCAAUCUUUUUGAUUUAUAAAGUCCAUUUGACAUUGUAAAUAACAACUAAUCCUAAGUGGUCUAGUGGAGAGGGUUGGUUUUCUAGAUCUUUAGAUGACAUUGUAAAUAACAACUAAUCCUAAGUGGUCUAGUGGAGAGGGUUGGUUUUCUAGAUCUUUAGUGUAGUGGGUUCGAUACUCCUAGGCAUAGUUUUUCUUUCUUUUAAUAUUUUCUUUUAUAUUUAUGCUUUAUUAUUCAUAUUUCUUUUUUUAUUAUUGUUUAAUAAUAUAGAUUUGUUUUUUUCUUUUAAUUGCAUCAUGCAUUCGAAACCAUUUUUUUUUAACUUAUAAAAAUCAUAUUUUCUCGAUUUAAUAUCGAGCCCUUUUUCAUACCCUUGUAAG